rnacentral:lncRNA from 1 species
AACCCUUGAGCAAUGACAAGUACCUGCCAAACACUGUUGUGAAAACCUCUCUCCUGGGAAAACAAAAGUCAUGACAUUUUGAGCACAAUUGUGUGUGGGAUGCAUUCAUCAAUAGAGCUGGAAGCACCAACCACCAUAGGAGUAGAGACAGGGUUUCACCACAUUGGCUAGGCUGGUCUUGAACUCCUGACCUCAAGUGAUCCACCCCCAUCAGCAUCCCAAAGUGCUGGGAUUACAGAGGAAACUUUUAGUUACAAGCACAUGAAUAAAUAAAAUCAAACUCAACUGGAAUGACGUUCCUGAGGAUGGAGAUACAUUUUUUUGUUGACCCAUCUAAACUUGAACAGCAAGUGAUAAUCAGUCUCCAAUCAGAAAGUCCCAGGACUUAUAGGAGCAGAAAUCAGAAGACUUUACUCCACACACUUCAGGUGGACAUGUGGACAAAGCCAUCGGAGAACAUGACAAAAAUACAGCAAGAGCAGAGACAAGAUCAGAUCAUCCUGGGGGCAGAUGCUGGGCUCUGACCAAUUUGAGAGAGAAAAGGAAAAAGAACCCAGCUACAAGAUGCACAAGUAGCAGGCCACAGCCACCAACAUCAGCAGAGCAAUUGGAGGCCAGGAAGACAAGGACACUUCUGAAGAGACUGAAAAAAGCAGAAGACAGUCCAAGUCACUGCAAGGUUCCAAGGUCUCUUUUUUCAUUACUGUUACAAGUACCAAGUAAGCCAAAAUCCACCCUACUCUUCAAAACCAUCUUGAAGAGUUGCAGGUCAGGGUUGCUGCAUCUGAGCAUGUUUACUCACAAAAGGUGACAGAUGCUCCUCAACUUACAAUGAGAUUACAUCCUGAUAAAUGUGUCAUAAGUUGAAAGUAUCUUAUAAGUCGAAAAUGCAUUUACUACAGCCUAACCCACUGAACAUUGUAGCUUAGGCUAGCCUACCUUAAAACGUGAUCAGGACACUUCCCUCAGCCUACAUUUGGGCAAAAUCACCUAACACGAAGCCUAUUUUAUAAUAGAGCAUUGAAUAGCUCAAAUAAUUUAUUGAAUACUGUACAUUACAUAGAAUUUGUGACAGUUUUACACCAUCAUUAUGUCAAAAAAUCAUUAAGUUGAGCCACCAUAACUCAGGGACUGUCUGUAUUUAUAUUUUUACUUCACACUAAGCUUUGAAACUGAAAUUUUUGCUCCUCAGCAGAUGGGGUUUCUGAGAAAGACCAAAUUAGUUAUAGAGCACUAGCUCCCAAAAAAAAAAAAAAAAAAAAACAGAAGAAGUCAGAGGAGGAGGGCAACAUGGAGCAGAGGAAGAAGGAGAGAAAAAGCAAGAAACCAUUAUCGCUCCCUCAUCUGAACUGCACUGCGAGUAAGCUGGGGCUUCCACCACAGUGUCCUGGAAGCCAUGUUUGCUGCCCAUUUCUGGACUCUCCAGCCACACUGGCCUCCUUUCCCUUUCUCAAACCUGCUGUGGUUCCUGCCACUUCAAGAUAAUCUCUUAACAAUCUAUUCCUUCUGCCUGGAAUGCUCUUCCUCCCACCCAACCCCGCUCUGCCCAGCUAACUCCAUUCUUUGGCCCCUGCAUCACUUUCCCAAGGAAGCCAUUUCUGGACUUCCCUGACCCCUGCCUUCCAUCUUCACUGGCCCAGAGUUCCCUACCCUAUGGUCUCAUUGCUCCCUCCCAGGCACUGCUGCCUCCCAGGACUCUUCCCUGUCGGUAAUAUAGUUCUGUUUGAUUGUUCAGUUAAUUUUGCCUCCCCUGAAGACCAUAAGCCAUGUUGGCAAUGAUGGUUUUGCUCACCAUUGCACCUCCAGUGUCUAAAAACCAUGGGCAGGUCAAUUCAUUUUUGUUGAGUAAAGGAAUUGUUCAAUAAGUGCACAAAUAAAUUCACAUUAAAACUUGUCC